rnacentral:rRNA from 1 species
UACGUAGGGUGCGAGCGUUGUCCGGAAUUAUUGGGCGUAAAGAGCUCGUAGGCGGUGUGUCACGUCGGCCGUGAAAACCCGCGGCUUAACCGCGGGCUUGCAGUUGAUACGGGCAGGCUAGAGUUCGGUAGGGGAGACUGGAAUUCCUGGUGUAGCGGUGAAAUGCGCAGAUAUCAGGAGGAACACCGGUGGCGAAGGCGGGUCUCUGGGCCGAUACUGACGCUGAGGAGCGAAAGCGUGGGGAGCGAACAGG